ensembl:lncRNA
GUUAAGUGGUUGCAUGUGUAUUACUGCCUUAGCUUGGUCAUCCAUUCAAAUGUAAUCAAUAAAUGAAGAGCAUGGAGCAGUUUCUUAUCAUUGUUCUAUUAGCAGGAGGAACACUCGCUCUCGUUGCAGUUGAUGAGACUACUUGUGACCUCAGGAUGAACACAGGUCCAUGCUCUCCUAUUCUUGAAGGAACUGUGUAUAUCCAAGUGAUGACUAAUGCUAGUGGCCGUGAAAUGAAGUGUUUGAAAGUGCUUCCCAGUGUGAACAUAACUAUGUUCAAUCUGAAGAAAGAAAAAAUAAUGAUAGACAAGGAAUUUAACAACAGACUACAGUUUAUAAUCAAGAACGGGACACUCAAGAUCACAAACAUGAGGAGGAAUGAUUCAGGUCAAUACAGCAUUGAGGUCUUUAAUUCAGAUGGCGUUCAAGAGAAAAAUAUUCAUUUCACCCUGGAUGUUAAAGACAAUGGAAAAGUUGAAGCUCACGUUUCAGUUGAUGAGACUACUUGUGACCUCAGGACGAACACAUGCCCAUGCUCUCCUAUUCUUGAAGGAACUGUGUAUAUCCAAGUGAUGACUGAUGCUAGUGGCCGUGAAAUGAAGUGUUUGAAGGUGCUUCCCAAGGGAAACAUAACUGUGUUCAAUAUAAAGAAAGAAAAAAUAACAACAGACAAGGAAUUUAACAACAGACUACAGUUUAUAAUCAAGAACGGGACACUCAAGAUCACAAACCUGAAGAGGAAUGAUUCAGGUCGAUACAGCAUUGAGGUCUUUAAUUCAAAUGGAGUUCAAGAGAAAAAUAUUCAUUUCACCCUGGAUGUUGAGGACAAUGGCAACGUUGAAGGCGAUGAGACUACAUGUGACCUCAGGACGAACACAUGUCCAUGCUCUCCUAUUCUUGAAGGAACUGUGUAUAUCCAAGUGAUGACUGAUGCUAGUGGCCGUGAAAUGAAGUGUUUGAAGGUGCUUCCGAGGGGGAACAUAACUGUGUUCAAUCUGAAGAAAGAAAAAAUAACGACAGACAAGGAAUUUAGCAACAGACUCACGUUUAUAAUCAAGAACGGGACACUCAAGAUCACAAACGUGAAGAGGAAUGAUUCAGGUCGAUACAGCAUUGAGGUCUUUAAUUCAAAUGGAGUCCAAGAGAAAAACAUUCAUUUCACGCUGGAUGUUAAAGACAAUGGAAAAGUUGAAGCUCCUGUGUCCUCUGUCCUGCUGGUUUCUGAGUGUCUGUCCCAGGGAGAGAGGAGGGUGUCCUGCUCCUCUGAGGGAGGGGACAGUCCUCAGUACAGCUGGACUCUGGAUGGACGCACACUGACAGAUGCUGAGCUCCUUUAUGGAAAUAAUAAGACAAACAUCAUCACUCUGAAACAGCACGUCUCAGGACAUCUGGUCUGCUCAGUCAGGAACAAUGUCAGUAAUGCCUUCAAAGAAGAGAGGAUAUCUACCUGUGGCUUUGUUUUCAUCAGCUGCUCAUUAUUUAAUGGGACACAGAUGUCAGGGUGGGUGCAUAAGUCCAGUAAUACCCUUUGUCCCGAACCAACAGGAGACCCUUCCACGGCCACACAAACUGCAGUGGGUGCUUCCUGGUUCGUGUUUGGUUUGAAAGCCGCUGUGGUAAUUAUAUCAUUAAGUGGAAUUUCGCUCUAUUUCGCUUGGAAGAAAAAAACAAUAUUGGAGGGCCCUGCUGUCCCACAAAGGAUGGAAUAUCCAGAUAACUCUGUUUUGAUGAUUGCAUUGAGUUCUCACUCCAACACAUAGUGUCACUUUUCACCUGUUGUACAUUUCUCAUGUGUCCUCAUAGGCUUGUAAAUAAGCAUUAGUGGGGGUUUUUUCAUUCCACAUUUUAUUGACAGCUUAGUAUAUUUUUAGUAUAUGUCAAUAUGUUUUUUGUGUUUUUAUUAUUCAAGAACAGCAAUCCAGCAAAAUAUAAUCGAAGUGGAAAAUCAGAGAAAGAUCUUUGUCUCCUUCUUUCAUGU